rnacentral:lncRNA from 1 species
GAGACUAUGGCAAAGAAGUCAACAUCCUGCAAUCAACAAAUCAUUGACAGUCCUUGAAUUUAUGAAUGAUCAAAAUUCCUGUUCUGUUGAGAAUGACGUAGUAUCAACUCAACCUGUAUGUCAAAGCCCAUGGUAAGAAUAGUGAAUUAAAAACAUUUUUUUUUAUCUGUAAAAAACAUGAUGUUUACCGCAACAAACAUGCAGUCCAG